rnacentral:rRNA from 1 species
CAGCAGCCGCGGUAAUACGAAGGGGGCUAGCGUUGUUCGGAAUUACUGGGCGUAAAGCGCACGUAGGCGGAUAUUUAAGUCAGGGGUGAAAUCCCGCAGCUCAACUGCGGAACUGCCUUUGAUACUGGGUAUCUUGAGUAUGGAAGAGGUUAGUGGAAUUGCGAGUGUAGAGGUGAAAUUCGUAGAUAUUCGCAGGAACACCAGUGGCAAAGGCGGCUAACUGGUCCAUAACUGACGCUGAGGUGCGAAAGCGUGGGGAGCAAACAGGAUUAGAUACCCCCGUAGUCCCUGUCUCUUAUAC